AUUGAACGCUGGCGGCAUGCCUUACACAUGCAAGUCGAACGGUAACGGGCCUUCGGGUGCCGACGAGUGGCGAACGGGUGAGUAAUGCAUCGGAACGUACCUUUCAGUGGGGGAUAACGUAGCGAAAGUUACGCUAAUACCGCAUAUUCUGUGAGCAGGAAAGCAGGGGAUCGCAAGACCUUGCGCUUUAGGAGCGGCCGAUGUCGGAUUAGCUCGUUGGUGGGGUAAGGGCUAACCAAGGCGACGAUCCGUAGCGGGUCUGAGAGGAUGAUCCGCCACACUGGGACUGAGACACGGCCCAGACUCCUACGGGAGGCAGCAGUGGGGAAGUUUGGACAAUGGGCGCAAGCCUGAUCCAGCCAUGCCGCGUGAGUGAAGAAGGCCUUCGGGUUGUAAAGCUCUUUCGGUGGGGAAGAAAUUGCACUCGUUAAUACCGGGUGUAGAUGACGGUACCCGCAUAAGAAGCACCGGCUAACUACGUGCCAGCCGCCGCAGUAACAC
rnacentral:rRNA from 1 species